rnacentral:rRNA from 1 species
UACGGAGGGUGCAAGCGUUGUUCGGAUUUACUGGGCGUAAAGCGCGCGUAGGCGGCUUUUCAAGUCGAUUGUGAAAUCCCCGGGCUUAACCUGGGAACUGCAGUCGAGACUGUCUAGCUAGAGUAUGGGAGAGGGAAGUGGAAUUUCAGGUGUAGCGGUGAAAUGCGUAGAUAUCUGAAGGAACAUCAGUGGCGAAGGCGGGUCUCUGGGCCGAUACUGACGCUGAGGAGCGAAAGCAUGGGGAGCGAACAGG